rnacentral:rRNA from 1 species
ACGAACGCUGGCGGCGUGCCUAAUACAUGCAAGUUGAGCGCUGAAGGUUGGUACUUGUACCAACUGGAUGAGCAGCGAACGGGUGAGUAACGCGUGGGGAAUCUGCCUUUGAGCGGGGGACAACAUUUGGAAACGAAUGCUAAUACCGCAUAAAAACUUUAAACACAAGUUUUAAGUUUGAAAGAUGCAAUUGCAUCACUCAAAGAUGAUCCCGCGUUGUAUUAGCUAGUUGGUGAGGUAAAGGCUCACCAAGGCGAUGAUACAUAGCCGACCUGAGAGGGUGAUCGGCCACAUUGGGACUGAGACACGGCCCAAACUCCUACGGGAGGCAGCAGUAGGGAAUCUUCGGCAAUGGACGAAAGUCUGACCGAGCAACGCCGCGUGAGUGAAGAAGGUUUUCGGAUCGGAAAACUCUGUUGGUAGAGAAGAACGUUGGUGAGAGUGGAAAGCUCAUCAAGUGACGGUAACUACCCAGAAAGGGACGGCUAACUACGUG